rnacentral:rRNA from 1 species
GAUGAACGCUGGCGUCGUGCCUAAUACAUGCAAGUCGAGCGAACGGACGAGAAGCUUGCUUCUCUGAUGUUAGCGGCGGACGGGUGAGUAACACGUGGAUAACCUACCUAUAAGACUGGGAUAACUUCGGGAAACCGUAGCUAAUACCGGAUAAUAUUUUGAACCGCAUGGUUCAAAAGUGAAAGACGGUCUUGCUGUCACUUAUAGAUGGAUCCGCGCUGCAUUAGCUAGUUGGUAAGGUAACGGCUUACCAAGGCAACGAUGCAUAGCCGACCUGAGAGGGUGAUCGGCCACACUGGAACUGAGACACGGUCCAGACUCCUACGGGAGGCGGCAGUAGGGAAUCUUCCGCAAUGGGCGAAAGCCUGACGGAGCAACGCCGCGUGAGUGAUGAAGGUCUUCGGAUCGUAAAACUCUGUUAUUAGGGAAGAACAUAUGUGUAAGUAACUGUGCACAUCUUGACGGUACCUAAUCAGAAAGCCACGGCUAACUACGUG